rnacentral:rRNA from 1 species
AUGAAAAGCACUUUGAAAAGAGGGUGAAAAGAGCCUGAAACCGUCACGGGGGAAGCGGAUUGCGUUGGAUUGAUGGGUCCUUGCGUGUUCAGCCCGUUCGGGUGCAUUGGCGCAUGGACUUAUCCGCCGUGGGUUUUCGGCGGUCGAUUUUGGACUGCUGGAGGCUGAGGGCUCCCUUUUUAUAGGUGAGGACGGCGGAGCGACGACGCGAUACGACCCGUCUUGAAACACGGACCAAGGAGUCUAGCGCGGGUGCGAGUCGGAGGGUGCAAGCCCGUGGGCGAAGUGAAAGCGAGUUUAAAAACUAGCAGUUUGGGGCGGCAUAAGAUCGUUGAUCUUAAGACCGACCCGGAGCAGUUGCGCUGGGACCCGAAAGAUGGUGAACUAUGCCGGAGUAGGGCAAAGCCAGAGGAAACUCUGGUGGAGGCUCGUAGCGGUGCUGACGUGCAAAUCGCUCGUCGAACUUGGGUAUAGGGGCGAAAGACUAAUCGAACCAUCUAGUAGCUGGUUCCCUCCGAAGUUUCUCUCAGGAUAGCGGGCCGACAUAGAGUUGUUUUGUGC